CCUACGGGAGGCAGCAGUGAGGAAUAUUGGUCAAUGGCCGGGAGGCUGAACCAGCCAAGUCGCGUGAGGGAAGACGGCCCUACGGGUUGUAAACCUCUUUUGUCAGGGAGCAAGUUGCAGUACGGGACCUACUUUGCGAGUACCUGAAGAAAAAGGAUCGGCUAACUCCGGGCCAGCAGCCGCGGUAAUCCGGAGGAUGCGAGGGUUAUCCGGAUUUAUUGGGUUUAACGGGGGCGCAGGCGGGGGGACAAGUCAGCGGUAAAAUCGCGGCGGUAAACCUCGCUCCGCCGUUGAAACUGGGUGGCUUGAGUGCGGGAAGGGUAGGCGGAAUGUGUGGUGUAGCGGUGAAAUGCAUAGAUAUCACGCAGAACUCCGAUCGCGAAGGCAGCCUACCGGACUGCAACUGACGUUGAUGCACGAAAGCGUGGGUAUCGAACAGGAUUAGAUACCCGAGUAGUC
rnacentral:rRNA from 1 species